ensembl:lncRNA
CUUCUCACUUGAGUUUUUCUCCCUCAAACUCUCACGCGCUCUAUGCGCUCGCUCAUAGAGUUCCGAGUAAACAGACCUCCGUCCUGUUCUCCUCACGUUGAUAGCAGUGAAAAUUAAAGAGAACGACGAAUGCAUAGACUUCGCACUCGUUAAUCAGUCGUUGUCAGACUCACACGCGGAUUUUCGAGGAGCUCUCUCACUCUCUGCGCGCGCUGUGACUCUCAUGCCGAGCGCGCGGGACAAGUUUUUUGCUCUCGGAUGGGGCUUUGCUUCGGAGAGUGUCCUGCCAGGAUGCUAAGUUGGAAAUUGAGGAUUCUGACGCCUACUAUGAGCCUCUCGCUCCUCCUCUCAGGGUGUAGUCAUCGAAGGAAAGGCAAGCUGGAGCUGGGUUACAGCAGCCCAGCCUAAAUCGAUUCUCUCUCUCUCUCUCUCUCUCUCUCUCCCUCUCUCUCUCUCUCUCUAUUUCCCUCUCUCUACAUUCGUACCCUGGCACUCACUAACAAUCUCCCCCGCUAUCCCCCUAUUUUUGUCUCCUACAAGCCUCAGUGCCUUAGACUGAGCAGCUAUACAGCCCCUGGAUGGCGGUCUCUUGCGAGCCAGUACAUCAACUUCAACUUUCCUCAUUUUCUAAAUACACGAAGCCUUCAUUUUCACACAUGAUUAAUAACAAAUGGACUGUUGUCUUCUUGGGGACGGCUUGCCAAAUACGACAGGAGACGCUACAAGUCCUGAUGGAGAAAGAGGGAGUGGGAGGGAGACAAAACUUGCGAGAGGACGAGGGAAAGCCCGUAAUGCUGUAAUGCCCAUUAGUGAGAUUUCACGCACUCUCUCUGAUCUGACUCACUGACAGAAGCCUCUAACAGACAAUAAUGAGAAUGUUUGGCAGGAUUCUGGAUGUGUGUGUGUGUGUGUGUGUGUGUGUGUGUGUGUGUGUUGUUACAUGUGUAAUAUGUACUUACUAAUAUUAUUCAUCAGCUGUGACAGAAAAUAUUUGAUAUGAUGCAUGCACCCACACAUAUUGUCCUCACACAUUAUUAUUCUUUGACAAAAAAGCAGAACAUCAGAUUCACGUAUAGCAUUGUACAUUUUUUCAAGUCAAAUGCAUUGAGGGUCUGUUUUUAGGGAUGCAUAUUAAAAUAAUGGCUGAAAUCAGUAAGUAUUUAAUUAUUUUUGUUAUAACCAAUAAAUGGAAAAAAAAUUGUAUUAAUAAUGAAAAA